GGGGGGGCGGGGGGGACGUGGAGGGAGUGUCACCCGACCGCAGUGCCCGCUCGGGGCGCGCAGAGGCUGCGUGGACCCCGAGAGAGGGCAACCAGCAACUUCGUGCCACCCUAGAGAGCGCUACCCGGGCCGCCUCCCUUCCUGCUCGCAGCCCUGGGAGCCACCCACGUCUUAACCAGAGCAGGAAGGCAUCGAGUCAGGACUAACCUCGGGGGCCCAACCUCAGAACCUGACUGCUGUCGAGUGGGAAGAUAAUCCCAAACCCCGACAAGUAGCUGCAGAUUCACAACUGACUUCCAACCAAGUGUGACCCUGGGCAAAGCGCUAACACUCUGAGCAUCAGUUUCAAUGUCUAUUAAAUGGGGAUAAUUAUAGUUCCGCCUUUUACGGAAUCACUGAGAGCACGAACCUCAGAAAGCAUUUAGCAGAAAGCCUGGCUGAUUUUGCCGUGCCUUACUAAAUGGGAUGAGCUAUCAUG